CAUUGCUGGAACGCGCUUCGGCGCACCCAGAAACCCUUUGUGAACUUAUACCUAUUGUUGCCUCGGCGAAGGCCGGCCUCUCUUCUGAGGCCCCCCGGAAACGGGGAGCAGCCCGCCGGCGGCCAACCAAACUCUUGUUUCUUAGUGAAUCUCUGAGUAAAAAACAUAAAUGAAUCAAAACUUUCAACAACGGAUCUCUUGGUUCUGGCAUCGAUGAAGAACGCAGCGAAAUGCGAUAAGUAAUGUGAAUUGCAGAAUUCAGUGAAUCAUCGAAUCUUUGAACGCACAUUGCGCCCUCUGGUAUUCCGGAGGGCAUGCCUGUUCGAGCGUCAUUUCAACCCUCAAGCCUGGCUUGGUGUUGGGGCACUGCUUUGUCUCAAAGCAGGCCCUGAAAUCUAGUGGCGAGCUCGCUAGGACCCCGAGCGUAGUAGUUAUAUCUCGUUCUGGAAGGCCCUGGCGGUGCCCUGCCGUUAAGCCCCCAACUUCUGAAAUUUUGACCUCGGAUCAGGUAGGAAUACC
rnacentral:rRNA from 1 species